GCAUCGCAACGGUGAGAGAGGUUCAGUUUUGCCCCCUCGGCAUCUUAACUCUCAGUCAUAGUUGCGAUGUUGUGUUUGCAUAUUGUCCGGGUUGUGCCGGACGGGUAGUCAAUCUACCACUUUUACUUCCUGUAUUUUUGACCUGUCUGUCAAAGUUUAUUGUUAGCACUGUGCCCCAACACGGUGCUUUUUUUU
rnacentral:other from 1 species